UGGGGAAUUUUCCGCAAUGGGCGAAAGCCUGACGGAGCAAUACCGCGUGAGGGAUGACGGCCUAUGGGUUGUAAACCUCUUUUUUCAGGGAGGAAGGGGUCACUGAUCCCUGACGUGUACCUGAGGAAUAAGCAUCGGCUAACUCCGUGCCAGCAGCCGCGGUAAGACGGAGGAUGCAAGUGUUAUCCGGAAUCACUGGGCGUAAAGCGUCUGUAGGUGGUCAAAUAAGUCAACUGUUAAAUCUUGAGGCUCAACCUCAAAAUCGCAGUCGAAACUAUUCGACUAGAGUAUAGUAGGGGUAAAGGGAAUUUCCAGUGGAGCGGUGAAAUGCGUAGAGAUUGGAAAGAACACCGAUGGCGAAGGCACUUUACUGGGCUAUUACUAACACUGAGAGACGAAA
rnacentral:rRNA from 1 species